rnacentral:ncRNA from 2 species
AGCAUUCAGUUAAAUAAGACUCAUAUAAUCACGGGAAUAUGGCCCGUAAGUUUCUACCGGUUUACCGUAAAUGAACCGCCUAUGGGGAGAAUGAAAAGCAGC